rnacentral:rRNA from 1 species
AUGCACGCUGGCGGCGUGCCUCAUCCCUGCCAGUCGAGCGAACGGACGAGAAGCUUGCUUCUCUGAUGUUAGCGGCGGACGGGUGAGUAACACGUGGAUAACCUACCUAUAAGACUGGGAUAACUUCGGGAAACCGGAGCUAAUACCGGAUGAUAUUUUGAACCGCAUGGUUCAAAAGUGAAAGACGGUCUUGCUGUCACUUAUAGAUGGAUCCGCGCUGCAUUAGCUAGUUGGUAAGGUAACGGCUUACCAAGGCAACGAUGCAUAGCCGACCUGAGAGGGUGAUCGGCCACACUGGAACUGAGACACGGUCCAGACUCCUACGGGAGGCAGCAGUAGGGAAUCUUCCGCAAUGGGCGAAAGCCUGACGGAGCAACGCCGAGUGAGUGAUGAAGGUCUUCGGAUCGUAAAACUCUGUUAUUAGGGAAGAACAUAUGUGUAAGUAACUGUGCACAUCUUGACGGUACCUAAUCAGAAAGCCACGGCUAACUACGUG